GGCUCAGGAUGAACGCGGGCGGCGUGCCUAAUACAUGCAAGUCGAACGGUCUACGCAAGUAGAUAGUGGCGAACGGGUGAGUAACGCGUUGGUGACCUGCCCCUUAGAGAGGGAUAACAGCUCGAAAGAGCUGCUAAUACCGCAUAAGAUCCCAGUGAUUAGAAGGCUGGGAUGAAAGCCGAAAGGCGCUGAGGGAGGGACCUGCGACCCAUCAGCUAGUUGGUGAGGUAACGGCUCACCAAGGCGAUGACGGGUAGGGGACCUGAGAGGGUGACCCCCCACAAUGGAACUGAAACACGGUCCAUACACCUACGGGUGGCAGCAGUAGGGAAUAUUGGGAAUGGGCGAAAGCCUGACCCAGCAACGCCGCGUGAGUGAUGAAGGCCUUCGGGUUGUAAAACUCUUUUUACGGGGACGAGGAAGGACGGUACCCGUGGAAUAAGUCUCGGCUAACUACGUGCCAGCAGCCGCGGUAACACGUAGGAGACGAGCGUUAUCCGGAUUUACUGGGUGUAAAGCGCGUGCAGGCGGUCCAAUAAGUUGGAUGUGAAAGCUCCUGGCUCAACUGGGAGAGGUCGUUCAAGACUGUUGGACUAGAGGAUGACAGAGGGGAGUGGAAUUCCGAGUGUAGCGGUAAAAUGCAUAGAUAUUCGGAAGAACACCAGUGGCGAAGGCGGCUCUCUGGGUCAUAUCUGACGCUCAGACGCGAAAGCUAGGGUAGCAAACGGGAUUAGAGACCCCGGUAGUCCUAGCCGUAAACGAUGUGAACUUGGCGUUGGUGGGUUCAAAUCCAUCAGUGCCGCAGCAAACGCGAUAAGUUCACCACCUGGGGACUACGGCCGCAAGGUUAAAACUCAAAU
rnacentral:rRNA from 1 species